GUAAUAAUCCUGUAGUCGAAAAUGUUGUCUCUCUUGAGUGGAUCCUGAGUACGACGGAGCACGUGAAAUUCCGUCGGAAUCUGGGAGGACCAUCUCCUAAGGCUAAAUACUCUCUAGUGACCGAUAGUGAACCAGUACCGUGAGGGAAAGGUGAAAAGCACCCCGGAAGGGGAGUGAAAUAGAACCUGAAACCGUGUGCUUACAAGUAGUCAGAGCCCGUUAAUGGGUGAUGGCGUGCCUUUUGUAGAAUGAACCGGCGAGUUACGAUUUGAUGCAAGGUUAAGCAGUAAAUGUGGAGCCGUAGCGAAAGCGAGUCUGAAUAGGGCGUUUAGUAUUUGGUCGUAGACCCGAAACCAGGUGAUCUACCCUUGGUCAGGUUGAAGUUCAGGUAACACUGAAUGGAGGACCGAACCGACUUACGUUGAAAAGUGAGCGGAUGAACUGAGGGUAGCGGAGAAAUUCCAAUCGAACCUGGAGAUAGCUGGUUCUCUCCGAAAUAGCUUUAGGGCUAGCCUCAAGUGAUGAUUAUUGGAGGUAGAGCACUGUUUGGACGAGGGGCCCCUCUCGGGUUACCGAAUUCAGACAAACUCCGAAUGCCAAUUAAUUUAACUUGGGAGUCAGAACAUGGGUGAUAAGGUCCGUGUUCGAAAGGGAAACAGCCCAGACCACCAGCUAAGGUCCCAAAAUAUAUGUUAAGUGGAAAAGGAUGUGGCGUUGCCCAGACAACUAGGAUGUUGGCUUAGAAGCAGCCAUCAUUUAAAGAGUGCGUAAUAGCUCACUAGUCGAGUGACACUGCGCCGAAAAUGUACCGGGGCUAAACAUAUUACCGAAGCUGUGGAUUGUCCUUUGGACAAUGGUAGGAGAGCGUUCUAAGGGCGUUGAAGCAUGAUCGUAAGGACAUGUGGAGCGCUUAGAAGUGAGAAUGCCGGUGUGAGUAGCGAAAGACGGGUGAGAAUCCCGUCCACCGAUUGACUAAGGUUUCCAGAGGAAGGCUCGUCCGCUCUGGGUUAGUCGGGUCCUAAGCUGAGGCCGACAGGCGUAGGCGAUGGAUAACAGGUUGAUAUUCCUGUACCACCUAUAAUCGUUUUA
rnacentral:rRNA from 1 species